CCGGCGACCGGCGCACGGGUGAGUAACACGUAUGCAACCUGGCCGUGACAGAUGGAUAACCGGGAGAAAUCCCGCCUAAUACAGCAUGACGCCGGGAAGGGACAUCCCUUUCCGGCCAAAGGGGGCGACUCCGGUCACGGAUGGGCAUGCGGCGCAUUAGGAAGACGGCGGUGUGACGGACCACCGUUCCGACGAUGCGUAGGGGUUCUGAGAGGAAGGCCCCCCACACUGGUACUGAGACACGGACCAGACUCCUACGGGAGGCAGCAG
rnacentral:rRNA from 1 species